CAACUUUCAUCGUACACCGUUCGAUCGAGAAAUGGACGUCCAAGAUUCGUCCACGUCACCAUGAGUUAUUUUAACUCACGAGUGAAUCUGCGAGUUAAAUUUUAACUCAGGGUGACGUGGACGAAUCUCGGACAUCCAUUUCUUGAUCCAACGGUGUAGCAUAAGAGUUG
rnacentral:pre_miRNA from 1 species